rnacentral:rRNA from 1 species
AGAGUUUGAUCCUGGCUCAGGAUGAACGCUAGCUACAGGCUUAACACAUGCAAGUCGAGGGGCAGCAUUUUAGUUUGCUUGCAAACUGAAGAUGGCGACCGGCGCACGGGUGAGUAACACGUAUCCAACCUGCCGAUAACUCCGGAAUAGCCUUUCGAAAGAAAGAUUAAUACCGGAUAGCAUACGAAUAUCGCAUGAUAUUUUUAUUAAAGAAUUUCGGUUAUCGAUGGGGAUGCGUUCCAUUAGUUUGUUGGCGGGGUAACGGCCCACCAAGACUACGAUGGAUAGGGGUUCUGAGAGGAAGGUCCCCCACAUUGGAACUGAGACACGGUCCAAACUCCUACGGGAGGCAGCAGUGAGGAAUAUUGGUCAAUGGACGAGAGUCUGAACCAGCCAAGUAGCGUGAAGGAUGACUGCCCUAUGGGUUGUAAACUUCUUUUAUACGGGAAUAAAGUGAGCCACGUGUGGCUUUUUGUAUGUACCGUAUGAAUAAGGAUCGGCUAACUCCGUGCCAGCAGCCGCGGUAAUACGGAGGAUCCGAGCGUUAUCCGGAUUUAUUGGGUUUAAAGGGAGCGUAGGUGGAUUGUUAAGUCAGUUGUGAAAGUUUGCGGCUCAACCGUAAAAUUGCAGUUGAAACUGGCAGUCUUGAGUACAGUAGAGGUGGGCGGAAUUCGUGGUGUAGCGGUGAAAUGCUUAGAUAUCACGAAGAACUCCGAUUGCGAAGGCAGCUCACUAGACUGUCACUGACACUGAUGCUCGAAAGUGUGGGUAUCAAACAGGAUUAGAUACCCUGGUAGUCCACACAGUAAACGAUGAAUACUCGCUGUUUGCGAUAUACAGUAAGCGGCCAAGCGAAAGCAUUAAGUAUUCCACCUGGGGAGUACGCCGGCAACGGUGAAACUCAAAGGAAU